AUUUAACGCUGGCGGAAGGCCUAACACAUGCAAGUCGAGCGAGCGGCGGACGGGUGAGUAAUGUCUGGGAAACUGCCUGAUGGAGGGGGAUAACUACUGGAAACGGUAGCUAAUACCGCAUACCAUCAGAUGUGCCCAGAUGGGUUUAGCUAGGAGGUUGGGUAACGGCUCACCUGGGCGACGAUCCCUAGCUGGUCUGAGAGGAUGACCAGCCACACUGGAACUGAGACACGGUCCAGACUCCGACGGGAGGCAGCAGUGGGGAAUAUUGCACAAUGGGCGCAAGCCUGAUGCAGCCAUGCCGCGUGUGUGAAGAAGGCCUUCGGGUUGUAAAGCACUUUCAGCGGGGAGGCGUUACCCGCAGAAGAAGCACCGGCUAACUCCGUGCCAGCAGCCGCGGUAAUUC
rnacentral:rRNA from 1 species